rnacentral:rRNA from 1 species
UUUUCCGGUUGAUCCUGCCAGAGGUUACUGCUAUCGGUGUUCGCCUAAGCCAUGCGAGUCAUAUGUUCUUCGUGAACAUGGCGUACUGCUCAGUAACACGUGGAUAACCUGCCCUUGGGUCUGGGAUAACCCCGGGAAACUGGGGAUAAUACCGGAUAACGCAUAUAUGCUGGAAUGCUUUAUGCGUAAAAUGGAUUCGUCUGCCCAAGGAUGGGUCUGCGGCCUAUCAGGUAGUAGUGGGUGUAAUGUACCUACUAGCCUACAACGGGUACGGGUUGUGAGAGCAAGAGCCCGGAGAUGGAUUCUGAGACAUGAAUCCAGGCCCUACGGGGCGCAGCAGGCGCGAAAACUUUACAAUGCGGGAAACCGUGAUAAGGGGACACCGAGUGCCAGCAUCAUAUGCUGGCUGUCCAGAUGUGUAAAAUACAUCUGUUAGCAAGGGCCGGGCAAGACCGGUGCCAGCCGCCGCGGUAACACCGGCGGCCCGAGUGGUGAUCGUGAUUAUUGGGUCUAAAGGGUCCGUAGCCGGUUUGGUCAGUCCUCCGGGAAAUCUGAUGGCUCAACCAUUAGGCUUUCGGGGGAUACUGCCAGGCUUGGAACCGGGAGAGGUAAGAGGUACUACAGGGGUAGGAGUGAAAUCUUGUAAUCCCUGUGAGACCACCUGUGGCGAAGGCGUCUUACCAGAACGGGUUCGACGGUGAGGGACGAAAGCUGGGGGCACGAACCGGAUUAGAUACCCGGGUAGUCCCAGCCGUAAACGAUGCUCGCUAGGUGUCAGGCAUGGCGCGACCGUGUCUGGUGCCGCAGGGAAGCCGUGAAGCGAGCCACCUGGGAAGUACGGCCGCAAGGCUGAAACUUAAAGGAAUUGGCGGGA